rnacentral:tRNA from 2 species
GGGGACAUGGUCUAGGGGUAUGAUAUCUCAUUCGCAUUGAGAGGGUCGGGGGUUCAAUUCCCCCUGUCUCCA